AUUGAACGCUGGCGGCAGGCUUAACACAUGCAAGUCGAGCGGGGGAAGGUAGCUUGCUACCGGACCUAGCGGCGGACGGGUGAGUAAUGCUUAGGAAUCUGCCUAUUAGUGGGGGACAACAUCUCGAAAGGGAUGCUAAUACCGCAUACGUCCUACGGGAGAAAGCAGGGGAUCUUCGGACCUUGCGCUAAUAGAUGAGCCUAAGUCGGAUUAGCUAGUUGGUGGGGUAAAGGCCUACCAAGGCGACGAUCUGUAGCGGGUCUGAGAGGAUGAUCCGCCACACUGGGACUGAGACACGGCCCAGACUCCUACGGGAGGCAGCAGUGGGGAAUAUUGGACAAUGGGGGGAACCCUGAUCCAGCCAUGCCGCGUGUGUGGAGAAGGCCUUAUGGUUGUAAAGCACUUUAAGCGAGGAGGAGGCUACUUUAGUUAAUACCUAGAGAUAGUGGACGUUACUCGCAGAAUAAGCACCGGCUAACUCUGUGCCAGCAGCCGCGGUAAUACAGAGGGUGCGAGCGUUAAUCGGAUUUACUGGGCGUAAAGCGUGCGUAGGCGGCUUAUUAAGUCGGAUGUGAAAUCCCCGAGCUUAACUUGGGAAUUGCAUUCGAUACUGGUGAGCUAGAGUAUGGGAGAGGAUGGUAGAAUUCCAGGUGUAGCGGUGAAAUGCGUAGAGAUCUGGAGGAAUAC
rnacentral:rRNA from 1 species